rnacentral:rRNA from 1 species
UACAGAGGGGGCAAGCGUUGUUCGGAAUUACGUGGCGUAAAGGGCGCGAGUAGGCGGCCUGCUAAGUCGAACGUGAAAUCCCCGGGCUCAACCCGGGAACUGCGUCCGAUAACUGGUGGGCUUGAAUCCGGGAGAGGGAUGUGGAAUUCCAGGGUGAUGAGCGGUGAAAGUGACGUGAGAUAUCUGGAGGAACACCGGUGGCGAAGGGCG